GAGGGCAUAGCUCAGUGGUAGAGUGCAUGCUUCACAUGCAUGAGGUCCUGGGUUCAAUCCCCAGUACCUCCA
rnacentral:tRNA from 1 species